rnacentral:rRNA from 1 species
GUGAGUUGAGAAGCUUGCUGGAGGUAUCAGAAGUGCGAAUGCUGACAUGAGUAACGACAAUGCGAGUGAAAAACUUGCACGCCGAAAGACCAAGGUUUCCUGCGCAACGUUAAUCGACGCAGGGUUAGUCGGUCCCUAAGGCGAGGCUGAAAAGCGUAGUCGAUGGAAAACAGGUUAAUAUUCCUGUACUUCCGAUUGUUGCGAUGGAGGGACGGAGAAGGCUAGGCCAGCUUGGCGUUGGUAGUCCAAGUUUAAGGUGGUAGGCUGAGAUCUUAGGCAAAUCCGGGAUCUCAAGGCCGAGAGCUGAUGACGAGUUGCCUUUAGGCGACGAAGUGGUUGAUGCCAUGCUUCCAAGAAAAGCUCCUAAGCUUCAGACAAUCGGGAACCGUACCCCAAACCGACACAGGUGGUUAGGUAGAGAAUACCAAGGCGCUUGAGAGAACUCGGGUGAAGGAACUAGGCAAAAUGGCACCGUAACUUCGGGAGAAGGUGCGCCGGCGAAGGUGAAGGGUUUACCCCGUAAGCUUUUGCCGGUCGAAGAUACCAGGCCGCUGCGACUGUUUAUUAAAAACACAGCACUCUGCAAACACGAAAGUGGACGUAUAGGGUGUGACGCCUGCCCGGUGCCGGAAGGUUAAUUGAUGGGGUUAGCUAACGCGAAGCUCUUGAUCGAAGCCCCGGUAAACGGCGGCCGUAACUAUAACGGUCCUAAGGUAGCGAAAUUCCUUGUCGGGUAAGUUCCGACCCGCACGAAUGGCGUAACGAUGGCGGCGCUGUCUCCACCCGAGACUCAGUGAAAUUGAAAUCGCUGUGAAGAUGCAGUGUAUCCGCGGCUAGACGGAAAGACCCCGUGAACCUUUACUAUAGCUUUGCACUGGACUUUGAAUUUGCUUGUGUAGGAUAGGUGGGAGGCUUUGAAGUGGGGACGCCAGUUCUCAUGGAGCCAUCCUUGAAAUACCACCCUGGCAACUUUGAGGUUCUAACUCAGGUCCGUUAUCCGGAUCGAGGA